rnacentral:rRNA from 1 species
GGGGGGGGGGGGGGGGGGGGGGUGGGGGGGGGGGGGGGGGGGGGGCGGGGGUGCGGGGACGUGGUGGCGGGUGGCGAGGGGGGGGGUAGUGCAUGGGAGCGUGUCGUGUAGUGGGGGCUCGCCCGGCGCAAGCCGGAUUAAUACGGGAUACGAUCUAGGGAUGGAAGCGGGGGACCUUAGGGACUGGCGCGAACAGGGUGGCCGAUGGCUGAUGAGCUAGUGGGUUGGGUAAAGGCCUACCAAGGCGACGCUCAGUCGCUGGUCUGAUAGGACGACCAGCCACACUGGGACUGAGACACGGCCCAGACUCCUACGGGAGGCAGCAGUGGGGAAUUUUGGACAAUGGGCGAAAGCCUGAUCCAGCAAUGCCGCGUGUGUGAAGAAGGCCUUCGGGUUGUAAAGCACUUUUGUCCGGAAAGAAAUCCUUGGCCCUAAUACGGUCGGGGGAUGACGGUACCGGAAGAAUAAGCACCGGCUAACUACGUG